GCGAACGCUGGCGGCAGGCCUCACACCUGCAAGUCGCACGAACCUUUCGGGGUUAGUGGCGGACGGGUGAGUAACACGUGGGAAUGUGCCUUUAGGUUCGGAAUAACUCAGGGAAACUUGUGCUAAUACCGAAUGUGCCCUUCGGGGGAAAGAUUAAUCGCCUUUAGAGCGGCCCGCGUCUGAUUAGCUAGUUGGUUGAGGUAAUGGCUCACCAAGGCGACGAUCAGUAGCUGGUCUGAGAGGAUGAUCAGCCACAUUGGGACUGAGACACGGCCCAAACUCCUACGGGAGGCAGCAGUGGGGAAUCUUGCGCAAUGGGCGAAAGCCUGACGCAGCCAUGCCGCGUGAAUGAUGAAGGUCUUAGGAUUGUAAAAUUCUUUCACCGGGGACGAUAAUGACGGUACCCGGAGAAGAAGCCCCGGCUAACUUCGUG
rnacentral:rRNA from 1 species